GCUCACGUGUUUCAAACAGAGCUUCUACGUUUGCCGGUCGUUAUGCGUUGGUUUGUAUUUUAAACCACCAACAAAUGCACCAGAUAUUAGUGAUUUGGAAAAUAAGUCAACGAGCAUCACAAAUCCGCACAAGGGAAUGAUAGCAGCCACAGACAGUCCAGACACAGUCAGUGAGCCACUUUUGGAUGAGACUGAAAUAGCUGCAUGUGAUGAAGGUAAAAAUGCAGAUAACUUUGACCCAUAUAACACUGAUGCAGCAUGCUGGGGCCUAGUAAAUGAAACGGUCCAAUCUUAUUAGAUCACAAAAGGGCCAACGCUAUGUCAAAGCAAACAUUUUGAUUUUUCAGCAUCUGAAAAACAAUACAAACAUCAAAAACAGUAUUUAUCGAAAACCCUCUUCACACGUACUCUUCAAAAUGGGGAAUCUGUACCUCGUGAGUGGCUUCUGUGUUCUCCAUCGACAGGGCCUGUUUUGGUUUUUUUUGCUUUGUGUGUGAUUGUUUGGAGAUUUGUCCUCUCAUACAAGGGCAUUUAGUGGUUGUGGCUUUAAUGACUGGAAACAUGAUGCAGUUUGUAUUGUUGAGCACAAGAGCAACACUUGUCACAGAAAUGCAAUGCUUACCUGGAUUUAUCGGACACAAGCCAAAGGGCAAAUUGACUCAGAACUGAAAAAAACCAGUUUGAAACUGACUUGCUUAUUGGAAAGAGGUCCUCAGAUCGGCUGUUGCAGUUAAGUUUCUGGCAGAGCGAGAGCUUUCUUUCAGAGGAGAUAUUGAAACUGUUGGAUCCCCCAACAACGGAAAUUACUUGGGCACCUUGGAAUUAUUGAAUCAGUUUGAUCCUUUUUUUAAAUGAACAUAUUAAAAAAUAUGGGAACACUGGUAAAGGAAAGCCUUCAUACCUUUCUUCAAUGAUUUGUGAGGAAUUUAUAACUUUAAUGGGACAAAGGGUGCUUUCAGAAAUAAACGGUCAGUUGCAGAUUGCAAAGUACUUUUCCAUUAUUGUAGAUUCCACUCCUGACAUCCCACAUAGAUCAACUUAUGUUCAUUGUCCACUGUGUGUUGCAAGAGGGGCAGAUUCAAGAGUGUUUUCUUAAAUUUCUUGCAAUAACGAGUCAUACUGGAGAAUCACUUUUGUAAUUCAGUUUUGCAGAAGAUGGACAUUGACAUAGCAAAAAGUUCUGCAAUCAUGAAUUCGGGAGAUAAACCCUUUAGUAGAGUGGUUACUUUGCAUAGCUCACACUCUCAAUUUCGUUGGAGUUAUGAGCGUAAACUGCUGCUUGGAGGCAAACAUGUUUUUUUUCCUUUGUUUAGUCACUUUUUAAUUUCUUCUUGAAAUCAGCCACUCACUGGCAAAUUGUUACGGCAGGAUUAGAGCCAAAUGACAAUAAGUGAAUCGAGACGCUGAAAGCUCUUUCAGAUACAACAUGGUAUGUACAUGACCGGGCUACAAAAGCACUAGGGCUGAAUUAUGAAAAUAUUCAGGAAUCUCUCUCUGAAAACCAGCCAAUGAUCCAAAUCAGAACUCAAAUACACAUAACGAUGCUCGAUCACUGUUCAUGAAAAUGGGCAAGAUGGAAAUUGCUUUUCUUUUCAACCUCUGGAACAGUUCUGCAGAGAUUUCAAGCAACAAGCACUGCACUUCAGGCUGUUGACCUUGACUUGCCUAAUGCUGUAAAGUUAGUGGUCUCUUUACAUGAUUUUGUGGCUGGUCUAUAAGUUCAGUUUGACAGCUUUGAAACUACCACUAAACAAAUGACACCUUGAGUUUCUCAACAGUAUAAAUUGGAAAAGCACUGUGAACUGAAGCAUAAAAAAACAACAGGACGAGUCUGGGGAGCCGGACUGUAAGUUGUCAGGCCAAGAGAAAUUUUGUGUGGAGGUUUUCAAUGUUAUUGAUAAACUUGUUGUAGAGUUGCAUCGCAAGUAUGAAGCAAAAGAAGAGGUAUGCGGCUACUUCGGAUUUAUGAACAAUCUUCAUCUAUUUUCUGUAUCGGAACUAUAUAAUUCAGCUCUUAAACUACAAAACAAAUAUAUUACUGACUUACAAGAGGAUUUUGCAUAUAAACUAGUUCAAUUUAGGGAGUUCACAAAAAACGAGGAAAACAAAAUGGCAAAGACACUACUUCACGUUUUAAGACAACUGAAUCUGCAGUCUGUGUUUCCCAAUGUACACAUUCCUUACGGAUUUUUUUUGACACUGCCAGUUACUAACGCUGGAGGGGAACAAUCGUUUGCAAAACUGGCGUUAAUAAAAAACAAGCUGAGGUCAAGCAUGGAUCAGAUGAGACUGAAUAAUUUGACGCUAAUAUCAACAGUGUAUGACUUGCUUCGUCAGCUGCAUUUCAGUGACAUCAUCAAGGAUUUCUCAGCCCUGAAGACCAGAAAGAAACUAAUAUAAUAGCUCUUCUAAGGGAAAUACUGGAACUGGAAAGAUGCUGGAUAGAGGUGAAGGAAAUGGCCUGGGACAAGGAAGUAAAGAGGACAGGAUCUUAGACUGUGUGCCCACUUCCUUUUUCUCUCAACAAAGGGUAGGUGAGAGCUAUCUUUCAACAACAUUGUGUCAAAGUGGGAGCUUCCUACAUGCCCUAAAACUAAAACAGUUAGUUCCAAGAGUCUUCUGUUUUGUUUUCUGCAAAGUAGAAAAAAUAUUAGAAAUAAGACAACAUGUACAACUUAGUUUAUUGGACUCCCCUACUUGAGAUCUACAACUCAGCCACAUGUGCAUCAUUUCUAGAGCAUGUUGCAAUUUGC